UGAGGGCGGGCGGGACGAGGGAGCACCGCCCGCCCCGCGCUGCCAUAGGCGGCGCUGCGCAUGCGCGUCACUGCGGGAGCAUCUUGGAUUACUUCAGCUUGCUCCUGCCAGUUGCUCUGUUUAAGUUUCCAGUUUCAACUUCCCUGGAGCAGAAGACAGGCAAGACCCUGAAGGUUGAUGUCCGUCAUGCUGAGGUUCGGGCAGCACCUCAUCAAGCCCUCCGUGGUCUUCUUGAAGACUGAGCUCUCCUUUGCUCUCGUGAACCGCAGGCCGGUGGUCCCGGGGCGUAUCCUUUGGAUGGCCGUGCUCUUGGGA